GACGAACGCUGGCGGCGUGCUUAACACAUGCAAGUCGAGCGGUAAGGCCCUUUCGGGGGUACACGAGCGGCGAACGGGUGAGUAACACGUGGGUGACCUGCCCUCAGCUCUGGGAUAAGCCUGGGAAACCGGGUCUAAUACCGGAUAUGACUCCAUGACGCAUGUUGUGGGGUGGAAAGCCUUGUGCGGCUGAGGAUGGGCCCGCGGCCUAUCAGCUUGUUGGUGGGGUGANGGCCUACCAAGGCGACGACGGGUAGUCGGCCUGAGAGGGCGACCGGCCACACUGGGACUGAGACACGGCCCAGACUCCUACGGGAGGCAGCAGUGGGGAAUCUUGCGCAAUGGGCGAAAGCCUGACGCAGCGACGCCGCGUGAGGGAUGACGGCCUGG
rnacentral:rRNA from 1 species